rnacentral:rRNA from 1 species
UACGAAGGGGGCUAGCGUUGUUCGGAAUUACUGGGCGUAAAGGGCGCGUAGGCGGCCUGUUAAGUCGAACGUGAAAUCCCCGGGCUCAACCCGGGAACUGCGUCCGAUACUGGCAGGCUUGAAUCCGGGAGAGGGAUGCGGAAUUCCAGGUGUAGCGGUGAAAUGCGUAGAUAUCUGGAGGAACACCGGUGGCGAAGGCGGCAUCCUGGACCGGUAUUGACGCUGAGGCGCGAAAGCCAGGGGAGCAAACGGG